rnacentral:rRNA from 1 species
UACGAAGGGUGCAAGCGUUACUCGGAAUUACUGGGCGUAAAGCGUGCGUAGGUGGUGAGUUAAGUCUGUCGUGAAAGCCCCGGGCUCAACCUGGGAAUGGCGAUGGAUACUGGCUCGCUAGAGUGCGGUAGAGGAGAGUGGAAUUCCCGGUGUAGCAGUGAAAUGCGUAGAGAUCGGGAGGAACAUCAGUGGCGAAAGCGACUUCCUGGACCAAUACUGACGCUCAUGUGCGAAAGCGUGGGGAGCAAACAGG